UACGUAGGGGGCAAGCGUUGUCCGGAAUUAUUGGGCGUAAAGCGCGCGCAGGCGGCUAUGUAAGUCUGGUGUAUAACCUCAGGGCUCAACCCUGGGUCGCACUGGAAACUGUGUAGCUUGGGUACAGAAGAGGAAAGUGGAAUUCCACGUGUAGCGGUGAAAUGCGUAGAGAUGUGGAGGAACACCAGUGGCGAAGGCGACUUUCUGGGCUGUAACUGACGCUGAGGCGCGAAAGCGUGGGGGAGCAAACAGG
rnacentral:rRNA from 1 species